rnacentral:rRNA from 1 species
CAAGAAUAUUAGUCAAUGCUCGCAAGAGUGAACUAGCUAACUGGAAUCAUGAGUGUGUCACUCGUGAAUUGUAUAAGGCAAAAUAAUGAUGUCACUUUUACAAAUAGUGUUGUCCAAACCUGGUGCCAGAAGACUCGGUAAGGCCAGAGACGCGAGCGUUAAUCAUCCUGAUCAGGCGUAAAGGGUUUGUAGGCAGCUUUAAUUAAUUAAAGAUUGAAUCAUAUAGAAGUCAAGAGAAUUAGUAGAUUAGGGUUGAUAUCCGUAUAAACUAUUAAGAAUUCUAAUUAGCGAAGGCACUUUUCUAUCUACUGAUUGACGCUGAGAAACGAAGGGGAGGAAACAAAACAGGAUUAGAUACCCUAAUAUCCCUCUCUGUAAACGAUGAAUGGUAGUUGCUAGUAAUAAUAAUUAGUGACGAGGCUAACGCGUUAACCAUUCCGCCUUGUGAGUACGACUGCAAAGUUGAAAACAAAAAAAUUAGUCGGUUUCGGAGCAA